AAAAAUCGUGGUGUGGGAGAUGAGGCAAGUGGGCCACAAAUAAGGGGUGCGGACACCUGCCUUGCGGUGCGUACGCAGGUGUUUUGGUCAGUAUUGUUCUACUUACAUUUUCUGCAUUUUUGUGGCACAGACCUGGCUUGAAAGGAAAAUAUGAAACAGAUCUAUAGCAGACACUUCCAGCGCCUCGGCGGUCGUCGUCUUGCCACGGUCUGAGUGCACUCAACGCGCGUGGAAUACUGUAACCCGUGGAGGGGUGACUGGAGCGCUGUGCCAUGCUGCUUGUUCCUGAUGGUGAACAUUUUGAGUUUUACGUACAGAUCAAGAACUGGUAAGGCGAGGAGGUGCUCAGCGCCACCACAGAGCUGGAGGAGGCUGGGGGCGGCAGCACUCCGAGGCUGCGACAUGUUUGUGCUGAAGUGCAAAGCAGUUGUAUUGUUUUGAGUGAGAAUCUGCUAGUAAGCAUCCUAUUGCUUUUCAUGACUGACGGGGCACACACACACACACACACACACAAUAUCCUGCUCCGAAUCAUCCGGCGAGACACCUUCCCACGCCGCGGCCCGUGUCGUGGCGGCCUGCAUCGCCGGCGCAGCUUUGGUUCUCCUUGUCUGAGGCCGUGCCAGCCGUCCUCCACAGGUGGUCUACCAGCUGCAAGAAUAGGGGAAAGCACCGUAUUUUGGCAUCAGUACGCGCCACCCGCCACCAUCCCCCACCGCCGCCGCCGCCGCCACCACGGCUACCGCCACCUCCCCCACCUCUACCCUCACCACCACCGCCACCAAGUCUGGAGCGCCAGUCGUCUCGUACUACAGUGACGGCCGGUCACGCGCGCUGUGUGUCCCGGCCGGUCGGCAUCGUGCAACCCUGUGUGCCUGAGUGCAGCCCAGGUGUCGUGCCGAGCAGCGUAUUGCCUCCCCACUUGUCUGCCGCAGUGUUCGACUGUUCCACCAGUAUCCCUCCCCUUCUCCUUCUUCUCCUGUUGUUAUUAUUUCUGCUGUUUUUACUAUGUCAGCAGAUAUUGUCGACUCUAGUGUCAGUGGCCGACCGAAACUGUGACACUUGUAGUGAUAGCAGUGGUUGUUACUCUCAAUGCAGCGUAUACCAGGAGGGCCCUAGCGGUGCCCUGUGCAGCGGCGGCAGCAGCAACACAGUGCCACGCCGAGCGGGGAGGAGGAGGAGGAGGAGGAAGGAGGUUGUGCUGCCAACACUCCUGGGUGGCGGGAGGGAAAACAAAGAAGUGAAGGAGAAAGAAAAAGUUAUAGAGAAUGAUGGAGGAGUGAAGGUGAAGGAAGGUGACGGAAGAUUGUCUGUGGGAGGCGCGGCCGCAGGAGAAGGAAAGAAAGGUGGGCGUGGGCGGAGUGAGCCAUGCGCCCCGCCCACAGUCAUGCUGUUCGACCCACCCACCAACAACACCGACCAUGUGCCGCCCACCGCCCUCGCGACCCUAGCACCCGCCCAAGCACAAGGUACGUGCACGCCGGUUGGAUGGCAGAUGUGUAGAUAAGAUACAGGCAUUCACAUUGUAUAAAAGGACCAUGUUUUUGAUGAGCCGAGAGCAAGAAAAGUCGGGGGAACUGUAUGGUAAUAUAGUAAUCUCCAUGCCAGAAACGUCCAUGUCCUCACACUGCUGGGUUGAAAGGGAUGGGAGGAAGCGGCGGCUGUAUCUUUGUCAAGGGAAAUAAAAAUAGUGCAUUGUCAGAUCUUUUCAAUUACCAAAAGAAUGAUUUCAGAAACACUUCAGUCCGUUGGGUCCAAAUGCUGCACUAGUGCGAAAUAAUAAGUUAUGCCCAGAAAGAUGCUUAUUAUUGUAAGAGCCGAUUGGAAAAAGAAAGUUUGAUAGAAAAUACUAAAAUAUUUGAUUCUCAGAAAACUUCUGACUGGGGAGUCCGAAAUAUGGAGAGAAUGUUGUACUAGAAAUAUGAGUUAGGUUAGAUACACAGUACAGAUAAAAUGAUUUCUCGGACGAGAAAAAUUCUGAGUUUAGGAAAGGUUCACGAUGCGAACAUAAAUUCGAGAGCCAGCUUUGGAUUAAUACUCGGCACUGACGCACUGAAACUGACCAGACUAGGGACUGCUGUCAGAGGCUUUAAACACUUCAGUCUCGGCAAGGGUACAGUACACGGCUUAAAGGAACAAAUGUUUAAAAAAAAAAAUACAAAACAGUGAGUAGCGGGAAUAAAUAAAAUGAGCAGAACUGUCAGUCGCUCAUUGAAGAUUCUUAUGAUACACCUAUAGACGGAAACGUUGAGGUCGGAUUAAACAACACAGUAACGUGAUUUAUAUUUUUUGUGUCUAAAGGUUUUCCCUCGUGGUAACGGGACAUUCGGUCACAGAGAACAUGCUUUCCUCGCUUUAAUCCUACAUAGCUUUCCUGGAGUGUUUUUGCAACUCCAGAGACAGAUAUCUGGUUUUCUCUUUCUCUCUUUCUCACCACACACAUACAUAAGCAGGCACUCUUACACACAGAACGACAAAAGAAAGACCAACUUGGCUUAUCUUUACGCUAAGUAAUUGAUUCAACACACACAUAAAAAAUAAAAGUUUUUAGACUUACAAGAAAACAUAAAACGGUAGUGAGAACACACACACACACACACACACACACACACACACACACACACACACACACACACACACACACACACACACACACACACACACACACACACACACACACACACACACACACACACACACACACACACACACACACACACACACACACACACACACACACACACACGCAAAACAACAACACAGGUGCAGGUCUUACACAAGCACCGUGUAAAUAUCAAAGAGACUCGUAAACAUGUUCGAUGAAAAGUAAACACGCUCAGGCACGUUAAAGCUGUAAUUAAUUAAGUUAUUCAAAUACGAACUAACUCUAGGAACAUGAAGAACAUAAGACGGAAAGAUAGUCAUUUAUUUCUCUAAUUGCACUACAAGGAAAAUGCAGCAGCCAGGCAAGAGUCUUCCUGUUGUAACACGAUAAUAUUCUCCCACCCCACAAAGGACACUAAAUGUACGUGCUUGUACGUGGAAGUGUUGCCGUAGUGCGAGUCCUUGUAGUGUUCGUGUGCUUAUGUCCCUAUGUGGGCGUGACGAACAGAGGAAAACGCACCCCCUUCCGGUCACACAGCCAGGGAGCCUCGCCCUCACCUGACCUUUACGAGGAAGAUUUACGGAGGUCAUGUGUUUGGCUCUUGCCUCUAUUUGGCUCCACCUGACUCUCCCCAAGUCUUUUUACUCCCCGGACUUAACCUGCUUUGACCCUUCUUACCUGGCCGGGCCCAAACGACUCUGCCUGGCUUGAGCUAAUACCAUUUUAACCAGACCAGACCGUAAAGGAAUUGACUUUACGCUGUAUAAACUCGAACGUAGUGCCAGCCAGCCAUUUCUUCUAUCCCGUAUUUCCUAAAAACAACAAGUGUUCUUCAGGCAGGGAAAAACCCCAAGGCUGCUGGGUGGAA